rnacentral:rRNA from 1 species
UGAAUACGAGACGCUAAGGCGUCGAAGUAGUGUAUGUCAUACUUCCAAGAAAAGCUUGCACUGUCAUAGAUAAAAAACGCCUGUACCAUAACCGACACAGGUGGGUAGGUAGAGUAUACUAAGGGGCGCGAGAUAACUCUCUCUAAGGAACUCGGCAAAAUAACUCCGUAACUUCGGGAGAAGGAGUGCCUUAUUCGUAAGGUUGCAAUAACAAGAUCCAAGCAACUGUUUAUCAAAAACACAGGUCUCCGCUAAGUCGUAAGACGAUGUAUGGGGGCUGACGCCUGCCCAGUGCCAGAAGGUUAAAGAAGUUGGUUAGCAAUUGCGAAGCUGAUAACUGAAGCCCUGGUGAACGGCGGCCGUAACAAUAACGGUCCUAAGGUAGCGAAAUUCCUUGUCGGGUAAGUUCCGACCCGCACGAAAGGCGUAAUGAUUUGGAUACUGUCUCGGAGAGGGGCCCGGUGAAAUAGACUUGUCUGUGAAGAUGCGGACUACCUGCACCAGGACAGAAAGACCCUAUGAAGCUUUACUGUAACUUGAAAUUGAAAUUGGACUUUAUUCGCGCAGUAUAGGUGGGAGGCGUUGAUUAUAAUCUUGUGGGAUUAUUGGAGCCAUCAGUGAGAUACCACUCUUGUAAUGUUAGAUUUCUAACUUUGAAUCAUUAUCUGGUCAAAGAACAGUUUCAGGCGGGCAGUUUGACUGGGGCGGUCGCCUCCUAAACGGUAACGGAGGCGUACAAAGGUUUCCUCUGAACGGUUAGAAAUCGUAUCUAGAGUGUAAAGGCAUAAGGAAGCUUGACUGUGAGACCUACAAGUCGAGCAGGGACGAAAGUCGGUCUUAGUGAUCUGACGGUACUGAGUGGAAAGGCCGUCACUCAACGGAUAAAAGUUACUCUAGGAUAACAGGCUGAUCUCCCCCAAGAGUUCACAUCGACGGGGAGGUUUGGCACCUCGAUGUCGGCUCAUCGCAUCCUGGGGCGGUAGUACGUCCCAAGGGUUGGGCUGUUCGCCCAUGAAAGCGGUACGCGAGCUGGGUUCAGAACGUCGUGAGACAGUUCGGUCCAUAUCCGGUGUAGGCGUUAGAAUAUUGAGAGGAGCCUUCUUUAGUACGAGAGGACCGAGAAGGACAUACCUCUGGUGUACCAGUUAUCGUGCCAACGGUAAACGCUGGGUAGCUAUGUAUGGAGUGGAUAACCGCUGAAAGCAUCUAAGUGGGAAGCCCACCUCAAGAUAAGUAUUCUCAUC